CUCGUAGGCGGUUUGUCGCGUCUGCUGUGAAAUCCCGAGGCUCAACCUCGGGCCUGCAGUGGGUACGGGCAGACUUGAGUGCGGUAGGGGAGAAUGGAAUUCCUGGUGUAGCGGUGGAAUGCGCAGAUAUCAGGAGGAACACCGAUGGCGAAGGCAGUUCUCUGGGCCGUAACUGACGCUGAGGAGCGAAAGCGUGGGGAGCGAACAGGAUUAGAUACCCUGGUAGUCCACGCCGUAAACGUUGGGCGCUAGAUGUGGGGACCUUUCCACGGUUUCCGUGUCGUAGCUAACGCAUUAAGCGCCCCGCCUGGGGAGUACGGCCGCAAGGCUAAA
rnacentral:rRNA from 1 species